GAUGAACGCUGGCGGCGUGCUUAACACAUGCAAGUCGAACGGUGAAGCCCAGCUUGCUGGGUGGAUUAGUGGCGAACGGGUGAGUAACACGUGAGUAACCUGCCCUUGACUCUGGGAUAAGCCUGGGAAACUGGGUCUAAUACUGGAUAUGACUUCUCAUCGCAUGGUGGGGGGUGGAAAGAUUUAUUGGUCUUGGAUGGACUCGCGGCCUAUCAGCUUGUUGGUGAGGUAAUGGCUCACCAAGGCGACGACGGGUAGCCGGCCUGAGAGGGUGACCGGCCACACUGGGACUGAGACACGGCCCAGACUCCUACGGGAGGCAGCAGUGGGGAAUAUUGCACGAUGGGCGCAAGCCUGAUGCAGCGACGCCGCGUGAGGGAUGACGGCCUUCGGGUUGUAAACCUCUUUCAGUAGGGAAGAAGCGAGAGUGACGGUACCUGCAGAAGAAGCGCCGGCUAACUACGUG
rnacentral:rRNA from 1 species